rnacentral:tRNA from 1 species
GGGACUGUGGCUGAAUGGUACAGCACUUGCUUAGCACAUGCAAGGCCCUGGAUUCAAUUUCCAGCACUCCAA